rnacentral:rRNA from 1 species
AUUGAACGCUGGCGGCAGGCCUAACACAUGCCAGUCGAGCGGAGCGGCGGACGGGUGAGUAAUGCCUAGGAAUCUGCCUGGUAGUGGGGGAUAACGUCCGGAAACGGGCGAUAAUACCGCAUACUAUCAGAUGAGCCUAGGCCGGAUUAGCUAGUUGGUGGGGGAAAGGCCUACCAAGGCGACGAUCCGUAACUGGUAUAAGAGGAUGAUCAGUAACACUGGAACGGGGACACGGUCCAGACUCCUACGGAAGGCAGAAGUGGGGAAUAUUGGACAAUGGGCGAAAGCCUGAUCCAGCAAUGCCGCGUGUGUGAAGAAGGUCUUCGGAUUGUAAAGCACUUUAAGUUGGGAGGCGUUACCAACAGAAUAAGCACCGGCUAACUUCGUGCCAGCAGCCGCGGUAAUUC